CACAGUUUCAUCACUCCUUCCAGUCAAUUUUAGAUAUUGUAAAGUAACAUGAUCCACAGGGAAGAAUCCCAUGGUUGCACCAUACUCGGGAGACAUGUUAGCUAUAGUGGCCCUAUCUGCCAAUGAUAGCUCACCCAUACCAUCCCCAUAAAACUCAACAAAUUUGCCAACAACACCAUGCUUCCUCAGCAUUUGAGUCACAGUCAAAACCAAGUCAGUAGCUGUGACACCAUUGCGUAAUUUUCCAGAUAACUUGAACCCAACAACACCAGGCAACACCAUGCUCAUG
rnacentral:misc_RNA from 1 species